UCUGUUCUCAGAAGGUGGAUACUAAGUUUUACAGUGGUACUGUUUUCAACAGAAGAAUUUAACUAAAGCCCUCUUCUUUCCUACUUUUGACUUGAGGAUCCAUGCAAAAUUGCUGGCAGUCUCUAUGUGCUGCAUUACACAGUUUGGAAUGUGCCUGAUGAAGAAAACCCUUGUGCUUCCACUGCACAUCAGUGUUUUGGGACCAGCUGACAGUGCACCCAGGAACAACAGUUACGACCAGUCACUGAGUUGCUUCUUGCAUGAGUGCCAUAAAACGCUUUCCAGAAAUGGAAGAAGAUAAGAAGCAGAGUGCUAAAGCUACCGGUGUGGUGGGUGACUUGAGGAAAAGUUGGCAGACCUGGGCAGAGGAUCACAUCGAGUAUCAGAAAAAGAACCCGUUCAGCAAUGACAACAGGCUUGCAUCUAAGCCCCUGCAUACUCACAGAGGAGAUCCUACCUAUGGCAGGCCCCUGGAAGGGUCUCGGACAGAGCAGAGAGGGAAAGAUGCUCACUCACACGUGGAAAAGGAAGUAGAAGAGCUGUGCUCGAUCAUUAAAAGCACUGGACAGGUGGGAAAGGAUGGACACGUGAGCGUCACUUUUGGGCAGCUAUUUGAAACAUACGUGACUAUUUCUAAUAAAGUGGUGGGAAUCUUGUUAAGAGCCAGAAAACAUGGUCUGGUUCAUUUUGAAGGUGAAAUGCUUUGGCAAGGAAAAGAUGAUGGCGUGAUCAUCACUUUACUACAGUAAGGCUUUUCCAUCUGAUGAGUUCUGUUGCAAAGUUAAUUUGGAAAAAUCUAUCUGGAUACUAUCUUGAAAGAGAAAUUACAGAAUUUCAAUUCAGUAUUUACUGGGACAUGAGCAGGAGAGAAAACAGGUGAGAAAGAUGAAAAAAUAUUUUUGGAAAAAUGGUAGAGGCUUGGACAAAAAUCACAAAUAAUCAACUAAUCCAUCACGCUGCCACUGGAUUUUCUUUCAUUAUUAUCAUCCACUAACAAGUACACCUCAGCUCUUCAAAUUACUCCACUGGCUUACUGCUUUACAUUACUUCAAGUAUAAACUAACUGGUUUGCUACCAUACAACGUUGAUUCUUGCAGGUUGUCAACUACUCGCUGUGUGGGAUUUGGAUUUGUAAAUCAUGGAACUGAAAACUUUUAUGGGAAUUCAUAUACGUCUUCAGAAAAUGAGCCUGGCAUACAGCAAAAGGUUAGGUUAAUUUCACAUGGUAAAACUGAAUAAAUUGAUAUUAUUUUUGUGAAGUAUGUAGAAAUUCCCAAAUUGCAAAUUUUCAUUCAAUAUGUAUUUCCAUCAAAAUAAGCCUUUGGACUGAGCAAAUAAAAAUAUAGAUUUAAUUAUC